CUGGGAUUAGAUACCCCACUAUGCCUAGCCCUAAACAUAAAUAGAACCUCACCCCACUAUUCGCCCGGGUACUACGAGCAUUAGCUUGAAACCCAAAGGACUUGGCGGUGCUUCAGACCCCCCUAGAGGAGCCUGUUCCGGAACCGACACUCCCCGUUUAACCUCACCCUUCCUAGUUUUUACCGCCUAUAUACCGCCGUCGCAAGCUUACCCUGUGAAGGUCUUGUAGUGAGCAUAAUCGGCAUAGCCCAAAACGUCAGGUCGAGGUGUAGCUUAUGGAAGGGGCAGCAAUGGGCUACAUUCCCUAACACCAGGGAAUACGAAUAAUACGUUGCAACACGUACUUGAAGGAGGAUUUAGCAGUAAGCAGCAAGCAGAGAGUCCCGCUGAAGCCGGCUAUGAAGCGUGUACACACCGCCCGUC
rnacentral:rRNA from 1 species